rnacentral:rRNA from 1 species
AACUAAGCGGAGGAAAAGAAACUAACAAGGAUUCCCCUAGUAACGGCGAGUGAAGCGGGAUGAGCUCAAGCUUAAAAUCUCCAUACAGGUUCUGUAUGGCGAAUUGUAGUCUAUAGAGGCUGUUGUCAGUGCAGCUAUCUGGGAUAAGUCCCUUGGAAGAGGGUAGCAUUGAGGGUGAUACUCCCGUCUUUGCCCAGAUAUGCGGUGCGUACGACACGCUUUCUUUGAGUCGAGUUGCUUGGGAAUGCAGCUCAAAGUAGGUGGUAAAUUCCAUCUAAAGCUAAAUAUAAGUACGAGACCGAUAGCGAACAAGUACCGUGAGGGAAAGAUGAAAAGAACUUUGAAAAGAGAGUUAAAGAGUACCUGAAACUGCUGAAAGGGAAUCGAAUCGUUUCCAGUGUUUUUGCCUUUGCAUAUUUCAUUAAUGAAUGCUUGUUGGUAUUUUGGUUUGUAGUAGUUAAUUCUUCACUGCCAUUUUAUUAUGCUUGUGUUUGUUGGUGCCCUGUGUGAAGGUAUGAUGUCAAGGUCAAUUCGUAAGUCGCGGGAGAUGGUUUAUUGGGGAGGUAUGUUAACUGAUUCUGUCAUUUAACGGUUAUACCCUGGUUUACUAGUAGUCGUGGCUGGGAUUGAGGUGCCUACAACAUGCCUUGAAAGUCUUGUGGAAUUUUAUUUGUCAAUUUACUUGGAUAGCUUGCUAUGUCUGUUAAUUGUUCAGAUGAUUGAUUCUAUGAGUUACUUUUGCUGUUCGGGACUUUGACAAAAUGGAGCGAUCCGUCCCGUCUUGAAACACGGACCAAGGAGUCUAACAUGUGUGCAAGUAUUAGGGUGUGGAAACCCAAAUGCGCAAUGAAAGUAAAGAACAACUUGUUGUUUGAGGUAGGAAAGUUUGAGCUCUUGAGUUUGGACUGGCACUAUCGACCGAUCAUGAACCUACGUGGUGAAAGAUUUGAGUAUGAGCACAUAUGUUGGUACCCGAAAGAUGGUGAACUAUGCCUGAAUAGGGUGAAGCCAGGGGAAACUCUGGUGGAAGCUCGUAGCGAUUCUGACGUGCAAAUCGAUCGUCAAAUUUGGGUAUAGGGGCGAAAGACUAAUCGAACCAUCUAGUAGCUGGUUCCC